rnacentral:misc_RNA from 1 species
GAACGACACACUUGGAGCGAUCGUCCAAGUGCGCGGAUCGCUUGAAGAACGAGCUCAUAUAUAAAGUAAUAUAGUACCGCCAUAUUAAAUAUUUUUCAAGUCCAAGUUAAUGUGAUAUUCGUUAUUGUUGUGCAUAAAGUUUGUUAGCAAGUGGGCAAGGCCGCCAAAAGUGAUCUAAUUAAUAAAGCAAGUUUGUCAGUAGCGGUUAAUAAGCAGAGCCUACAAGAUGGGAAAGUUCGAGUACUCACUGGGUUUAAAUGAGCUCAAAUCCAAGGAGUUGAGAUUAUGGCAGGCCCUAAUUGGAGAAUUCCUGGGAAAUCUUAUUCUUAACUUUUUUGCCUGCGGUGCCUGCACUCAAGUGGAGGAUAGUACCUUCAAGGCUCUGGCUUUUGGCCUGGCCAUUUUCAUGGCUAUAACGAUCGUUGGGCACUUGAGCGGCGGACACGUCAAUCCUGCCGUUACUGUUGCCAUGUUAGUUGCUGGUCGAAUUAGUUUCCUCAGGGCCUUUUUCUAUAUAAUCUUCCAAUGUUUGGGCGCCAUUUCGGGAACAGCAGCAGUCAGGACCCUUAUCGACCAAGAUUACUACAAUGGCCUGGGCCACACUACUCUGGCUCCCAACAUCACAGAGCUGCAGGGUCUGGGCAUCGAGUUCUUCCUGGGCUUCCUCCUGGUUCUAACUGUGUUUGGAGCCUGUGAUCCCCACAAACCGGACUCCCGCUACACGGCGCCCCUGGCCAUCGGUAUGGCCGUGACUUUGGGUCACCUGGGAACCAUACGGUAUACGGGAUCCAGCAUGAAUCCUGCACGCACCGUUGGCACUGCAUUCGCCACCGGAAAUUGGUCUGCCCACUGGAUCUACUGGGUGGGUCCCAUUCUCGGGGGCGUGACAGCUGCCCUGCUCUACACCCAGAUCCUGGAGGCGAAGCCGGAGCCGAAGACGAAUGAGGCCGCCGAGAAGUACAGAACACAUGCCGAUGAACGUGAGGUGAGAAUCAGAUUGAUUAAUGCCUGGAGCGAGGAGUACUUCUACUGAUCAUUAACCCCUCGUUGCACACUCAAUUACAUUCAUUACACACUCACAGAUACACAUUAUGCGCAAAUUGGAAAGUGCCCGCGACUUUGCUUAGAAAUGGAAAACUAAGAGUGUCUCGAAUCUGGAGAGAGAAUCUGGAAAGGAUCAAUUUUGAUCAUUGAUUGCAUUCAGCUCUGUGUCUAUCAUACUUAUUACCUAUGUCGUGUAUUCGUUCGUUCGUGUGUAUUUAUGUAUUUAUUCAUGAAACUUUCAAUUUUUUAUUUAACUAAUACUUAAAUGUAUAAGCUGCCGUAAAAUGCAAUUUACAAACUAAAUUACAUGUAAAUGUCUCAUGCCUGCACAAUAAAGUCAAAUGUUUACAUUUAAA